GCUGCUCCUGACCAGGUGAUGACGAAGAGCUUGUGUGGAGUGGUGUUUUCCUCAACAGCUCUGGUUCAUUGAGACUGUUUGUUGUACAACUGCCUCUGCUGGCGAGGCUCUGCCAGUCGCUGGGACCGCGGAACCUGGGGGAGCCGAGUGGUCUGCUGAAGCAGCGCCUCUCCUCCACUCCGUUUCUGUGGGAUGGAGCAUUGUGGUGCCAC